CCAAAGCGGAGGAAAAGAAACCAACAGGGAUUGCCUUAGUAACGGCGAGUGAAGCGGCAAAAGCUCAAAUUUGAAAUCUGGCACCUUCGGUGUCCGAGUUGUAAUUUGAAGAAGGUAACUUUGGAGUUGGCUCUUGUCUAUGUUCCUUGGAACAGGACGUCACAGAGGGUGAGAAUCCCGUGCGAUGAGAUGCCCAAUUCUAUGUAAAGUGCUUUCGAAGAGUCGAGUUGUUUGGGAAUGCAGCUCUAAGUGGGUGGUAAAUUCCAUCUAAAGCUAAAUAUUGGCGAGAGACCGAUAGCGAACAAGUACAGUGAUGGAAAGAUGAAAAGAACUUUGAAAAGAGAGUGAAAAAGUACGUGAAAUUGUUGAAAGGGAAGGGCUUGAGAUCAGACUUGGUAUUUUGCGAUCCUUUCCUUCUUGGUUGGGUUCCUCGCAGCUUACUGGGCCAGCAUCGGUUUGGAUGGUAGGAUAAUGACUAAGGAAUGUGGCUCUACUUCGGUGGAGUGUUAUAGCCUUGGUUGAUACUGCCUGUCUAGACCGAGGACUGCGUCUUUUGACUAGGAUGUUGGCAUAAUGAUCUUAAGCCACCCGUCUUG
rnacentral:rRNA from 1 species